CCUACGGGAGGCAGCAGUGGGGAAUAUUGCACAAUGGGGGAAACACUGAUGCAGCGACGCCGCGUGAGCGAGGAAGUACCUCGGUAUGUAAAGCUCUAUCAGCAGGGAAGAAAGUGACAGUACCUGACUAAGAAGCCCCGGCUAACUACGUGCCAGCAGCCGCGGUAAUACGUAGGGGGCAAGCGUUAUCCGGAUUCACUGGGUGUAAAGGGAGCGUAGACGGCCAUGCAAGCCUGGAGUGAAAGCCCGGGGCCCAACCCCGGGACUGCUCUGGGAACUGUGCGGCUGGAGUGCGGGAGGGGCAGGCGGAAUGCGUGGUGUAGCGGUGAAAUGCAUAGAUAUCACGCAGAACUCCGAUUGCGAAGGCAGCAUACCGGCGCUCAACUGACGCUCAUGCACG
rnacentral:rRNA from 1 species